GGCUGUUCUCAGGUGACGCACCCCAGAAUCAGGCUCCCUCAUUUCUGGUUCCAGGUGUGUCACCCGAGAACUGUA
rfam:Myotis brandtii contig204334, whole genome shotgun sequence.